AUUGUCGAAAUCUUCAUUCACAAUCACCAGAUCAAUAUAUUUUUCGUAAGCACGCUGCAAGGCCGCAGAUUCUUCCAACGUAGCCUUCAAAUCGUCUUCCUGAAUCAAUAAGAAAUAGAUUUAAUUUAAUUGAACAUUUUGAGUGGUAAAUUUUUAGCGGUUACUACGUAUCUACAAGCAAUUACACUACAUUAAAAAAAUGAAGAAAAAAAUGAAUUUGCAUGCAGUACAAACCUCGUACAACGAAGCAAGGGAUUCCAAUGUUCUGGCUCUUCUCGAACUGUAUCUGAUGGAACUCUGGCGGUCAAACUAGCAAAGCCAACAUCAAAUACAUACAAAAGAUUAAAUAAAGAACGCUACAUAGUUUGUACGAUGGGAAAUAU